rnacentral:rRNA from 1 species
UACAGAGGUGGCAAGCGUUGUUCGGGUUUAUUGGGCGUAAAGGGUCCGUAGGCGGCCUGAAAAGUUGGAUGUGAAAUCCCACAGCUUAACUGUGGAACUGCAUUCAAAACUCCCGGUCUGGAGUGUGAGAGGGGUGAAGGGAAUUCCCGGUGUAAGGGUGAAAUCUGCAGAGAUCGGGAAGAACACCAGUCGCGAAGGCGCUUCACUGGCUCAUUACUGACGCUGAAGGACGAAAGCUAGGGGAGCAAACGGG